rnacentral:rRNA from 1 species
CAACUUUCAGCAACGGAUCUCUUGGCUCUCGCAUCGAUGAAGAACGCAGCGA